rnacentral:rRNA from 1 species
CCCUUAGAUGUUCUGGGCCGCACGCGCGCUACACUGACGCAUUCAACGAGUCUCCUUGGCCGAGAGGCCUGGGUAAUCUUGUGAACGUGCGUCGUGAUAGGGAUAGAUUAUUGCAAUUAUUAAUCUUGAACGAGGAAUUCCUAGUAAACGCAGAUCAUCAAUCUGCAUUGAUUACGUCCCUGCCCUUUGUACACACCGCCCGUCGCACCUACCGAUUGGAUGGUCCGGUGAAAUCUCGGGACGGCGGCUUGGUCGCUUGCGUCCGACUGCUGAAACUUGAUUAAACCAUAUCAUUUAGAGGAAGGUGAAGUCGUANCA